UGAAGACGACGAGGUAGAUAGGUUGGGGGUGGAAGUGCAGUAAUGCAUGGAGCUGACCAAUACUAAUCGGUCGAGGGCUUAUCCUAAA
rnacentral:rRNA from 1 species